UACGAAGGGUGCAAGCGUUACUCGGAAUUACUGGGCGUAAAGCGUGCGUAGGUGGUUUGUUAAGUCUGUUGUGAAAGCCCCGGGCUCAACCUGGGAAUGGCAAUGGAUGCUGGCAGGCUAGAGUGCGGUAGAGGGUAGUGGAAUUCCCGGUGUAGCGGUGAAAUGCGUAGAGAUCGGGAGGAACACCAGUGGCGAAGGCGGCUACCUGGACCAGCACUGACACUGAGGCACGAAAGCGUGGGGAGCAAACAGG
rnacentral:rRNA from 1 species